rnacentral:rRNA from 1 species
GAUUAGAUACCCGGGUAGUCCCAGCUGUAAACGAUGCAGACUCGGUGAUGCCCUGGCUUGUGGCCAGUGCAGUGCCGCAGGGAAGCCGUUAAGUUUGCCGCCUGGGAAGUACGUACGCAAGUAUGAAACUUAAAGGAAUUGGCGGGGGAGCACCACAAGGGGUGAAGCCUGCGGUUCAAUUGGAGUCAACGCCAGAAAUCUUACCCGAAGAGACAGCAGAAUGAAGGUCAAGCUGGAGACUUUACCAGACAAGCUGAGAAGUGGUGCAUGGCCGUCGUCAGCUCGUGCCGUGAGAUGUCCUGUUAAGUCAGGUAACGAGCGAGAUCCCUGCCUCUAGUUGCCACCAUUACUCUCAGGAGUAGUGGGGCGAAUUAGCGGGACCGCCGCAGUUAAUGCGGAGGAAGGAAGGGGCCACGGCAGGUCAGUAUGCCCUGAAACUUUGGGGCCACACGCGGGCUGCAAUGGUAGCGACAAUGGGUUCCGAAUCCGAAAGGAGGAGGCAAUCCUCAAACGCUACCACAGUUAUGAUUGAGGGCUGCAACUCGCCCUCAUGAAUAUGGAAUCCCUAGUAACUGCGUGUCAUUACCGCGCAGUGAAUACGUCCCUGCUCCUUGCACACACCGCCCGUCGUUUCAUUGAAGUUUGCUUUUAGCGAGGUGAUGUCUCAUUGGCGUCAUCGAACAUGA